CACCAAGUACACCUCUAUAUAUGGGCGGGCGAUCUACAAGGGAAUGUUCCCAAGUGUCAAUCAGACAUGCUGGAGACAUUACAGGCUCAGCGAGCCACCGAGGAAAGGCGAGGGCAAGAAAUUGAAUGUGUCCAUCGCAGGCAGCGCGUCUCAUGGGGAGAGAGCAGUGGAGAAAGGGGGAAGAGGCUACA